CCCGGCCGCUCAGCCGGUUCCGGCGGCCGCGCCCGCCGCGGAGCUACGGCGUCUCCAUGGCGACAGGGCGGCGGGUGGGGCGCAAGGCGGGCGGCGCGGCGGGGGUCACGCUGAGGGCAGGGGGCGCCGGAAGUCCUUCCCUCACGUCCCCGCGCUUACUGCAGGGCCCGGCCGCUACUGAUGCCCAGGUGUGUGGACGCGGCCCCGCCAGGUCCCGGGCCCCGACCUUGACGCCGCGUGACAGGGACUGCGGCGCAGGGCGAUGAGGGGUGACAGCCGCGGCCACCGUGACCCCGGCCUUCUGGACCCGAGCUCGGCUUCCGGGGCAGCAGCCCCAGCAGGAGCAGCCAGAGCGUCCAGCAGAGCAGCAGCGAUGGGGAAGGAGUGGCAGCGAAGCAGGGGACUGGCCACUGAUGAAGAGAAGGCUGCUCCAUGCCGAACCCAGAUGUUCUGUAGACAUCAUCACAAUGCCACACAGACCUGAGAGGGGACCAGCCUGCUCUACCAU